rnacentral:rRNA from 1 species
UGUUCAUGAAAACCAGUUGAACGCUGGCGGGAUGCUUUACACAUGCAAGUCGAACGGCAGCACGGACUUCGGUCUGGUGAGUGGCGAACAGGUGAGUAAUGUAUCGGAACGUGCCUAGUAGCGAGGAUGGCUUAAGCGUAGCUAAUACCACGCUACGCCCUUCAGGGAAAGCAGGGACCUUCAAGGCCUCGCACUACUGAAACAAACCGAUAUCCGGAUUAGCUAGUUGGUGGGAGUAACGGCUCACCAAGGCGACGAUCCGUAGCUGGUUUGAAGGCAGUAACCACUCAGGACUGAGACACGGCCCGAACUCCUACAGGAGGCAGCAGUGGGGAAUUUUGGACAAUGGGGAAACCCUGAUCCAGCCAUCCCGCGUGUGCGAUGAAGGCCUUCGGGUUGUAAAGCACUUUUGGCAGGAAAGAAACGGCACGGGAUAAAUACACCCGUGCCGGCUGACUGACCUGCAGAAUAAGCACCGGCUAACUACGUGCCAGCAGCCGCGGUAAUACGUAAGUGCAAGCGUUAAUCGGAAUUGGGCAUACAGCGUGCGCAGGCGGUUCGAGAAAAGAAAAGAUGUGAAAUCCCGACUUAACUUUGGAACUGCAUUUUUAACUACCGAAGAGCUAGAGUGUGUCAGAGGGAGGUGGAAUUCCGCGUGUAGCAGUGAAAUGCGUAGAUAUGCGGAGGAACACCGAUGGCGAAGGCAGCCUCCUGGGAUAACACUGACGGCGCUCAUGCACAACGUGGGGGAGCAAACCGGGAUUGGUCUUCCUGGUAGUCCACGCCCUAAACAGUAUCAACUUCGCUGUUGAGGCCUUCGGGCCUUGGCAAUAACGCGUGAAGUUGACCGCCUGCGGGAAAUACGGUCGCAAGAUUACAAAACUCAAAGGAAUUGACGGGGACCCGCACUGAAGCCGGUGGAUGAUCUGGAUUAAUUGAGUACAGCGCGAAAAACCUUACCUACCCUUGACAUGUCACAAGUCUGAAAGAUUUGGGAGUACUCAUAAGAGAACCGGAACACAGGUGCUGCAUGUGUCGUCAGUAUUCGUCCGUGAGAUGUUAGAUUCAGAGUCCCACGAGCGCAACCUUAUCGUUAGUUGCUACGAAAGGGCACUCUAAUGAGACUGCCGGUGACAAACCGGAGAGAGUGAGAUGGCCAUCAAGUCCUCAUGGCCCUUAUGGGUAGGGCUUCACACGUCAUACAAUGGUCGGGACAGAGGGUCGCCAACCCACGAGGGAGCCAAUCCCAGAGGAAACCCGAUCGUAGUCUGGAUGCUGAUGCAACUCGGCUGUGAAGUGGAAUCGCUAGUAAUCGCGGAUCAGCAUGUCGCGGUGAAUACGUUCCCGGGUCUUGUACACACUGCCCAUCACACCUAUGGGGUGGGUUUACCCGAAGUAGUUAGCCUAACCGUAAGGAGAGCGAUUACCACCGUGGGAUUCGUGACUGGGGUAAGUCGUAACAAGGUAG